rnacentral:precursor_RNA from 1 species
GACGGCGCGCGCCAGCGACUCUACCGUGUUGACGGUGCGUAGGGCGGCGGCGCGCGCCGGGCU